rnacentral:rRNA from 1 species
UGAGGAAUAUUGGUCAAUGGGCGUAAGCCUGAACCAGCCAAGUCGCGUGAGGGAAGACGGCCCUAUGGGUUGUAAACCUCUUUUGUCGGGGAGCAAAGCCGCCCACGUGUGGGCGGAAGGAGAGUACCCGAAGAAAAAGCAUCGGCUAACUCCGUGCUAGCAGCCGCGGUAAUACGGAGGAUGCGAGCGUUAUCCGGAUUUAUUGGGUUUAAAGGGUGCGUAGGCGGCAUGGUAAGUCAGCGGUCAAAUCGAGGGGCUCAACCCCUUUCCGCCGUUGAAACUGCCGUGCUUGAGUGGGCGAGAAGUAUGCGGAAUGCGUGGUGUAGCGGUGAAAUGCAUAGAUAUCACGCAGAACUCCGAUUGCGAAGGCAGCAUACCGGCGCCCGACUGACGCUGAGGCACGAAAGCGUGGGGAUCGAACAGGAUUAGAUACC